AACGAACGCUGGCGGCAUGCCUAACACAUGCAAGUCGAACGAGACCUUCGGGUCUAGUGGCGCACGGGUGCGUAACGCGUGGGAACCUGCCCUUAGGUUCGGAAUAACUCCCCGAAAGGGGUGCUAAUACCGGAUAAUGUCUUCGGACCAAAGAUUUAUCGCCUUUGGAUGGGCCCGCGUUGGAUUAGCUAGUUGGUAGGGUAAAAGCCUACCAAGGCGACGAUCCAUAGCUGGUCUGAGAGGAUGAUCAGCCACACUGGGACUGAGACACGGCCCAGACUGCGAGGGGAGGCAGGAGUGAGGAAGACGGGAGUGGGGGCGAAAGCAUGAGACAGGACUGCGGGGGGAGUAGUGAAGGCCUGAGGGUUGUAAAUCUGGUUUACGCGGGAAGGUAAGGAUAGUGGCGGGAGAAUCACCCCGGGCAAACGGCGGGGCAGCGGCGGCGGUAAGCCUCGGAAGAGCAACCGUAUGAAC
rnacentral:rRNA from 1 species